rnacentral:rRNA from 1 species
UUGGAGGGCAAGUCUGGUGCCAGCAGCCGCGGUAAUUCCAGCUCCAAUAGCGUAUAUUAAAGUUGUUGCAGUUAAAAAGCUCGUAGUUGAACCUCGGGGUCUACCCAUUGGUCAGGCUUAAUUGUCUGCACUGGUGAGAUGGAUCUCUACCUUCUGAGGAACUUUCAUGCCAUUUAUUUGGUGUGAUGGGAAAUCAGGACUGUUACUUUGAAAAAAUUAGAGUGUUUAAAGCAGACUAUCGUCUGAAUACAUUAGCAUGGAAUAAUGAAAUAGGACGGACUGAUUCUAUUUCGUUGGUUUCUAGGAUCACCGUAAUGAUUAAUAGGGAUAGUUGGGGGCAUUAGUAUUCAAUUGUCAGAGGUGAAAUUCUUGGAUUUAUUGAAGACUAACUACUGCGAAAGCAUUUGCCAAGGAUGUUUUCAUUAAUCAAGAACGAAAGUUAGGGGAUCGAAGACGAUCAGAUACCGUCGUAGUCUUAACCAUAAACUAUGCCGACUAGGGAUCGGACGAAGUUAAUUUUAUAAUGACGCGUUCGGCACCUUACGGGAAACCAAAGUGUUUGGGUUC